rnacentral:rRNA from 1 species
UGGGGAAUAUUGCACAAUGGGCGCAAGCCUGAUGCAGCCAUGCCGCGUGUAUGAAGAAGGCCUUCGGGUUGUAAAGUACUUUCAGCGAGGAGGAAGGCGUUGUGGUUAAUAACCGCAACGAUUGACGUUACUCGCAGAAGAAGCACCGGCUAACUCCGUGCCAGCAGCCGCGGUAAUACGGAGGGUGCAAGCGUUAAUCGGAAUUACUGGGCGUAAAGCGCACGCAGGCGGUGUGUCAAGUCGGAUGUGAAAUCCCCGGGCUCAACCUGGGAACUGCAUCCGAAACUGGCAGGCUAGAGUCUUGUAGAGGGGGGUAGAAUUCCAGGUGUAGCGGUGAAAUGCGUAGAGAUCUGGAGGAAUACCGGUGGCGAAGGCGGCCCCCUGGACAAAGACUGACGCUCAGGUGCGAAAGCGUGGGGAGCAAACA